rnacentral:rRNA from 1 species
UACGUAGGGUGCGAGCGUUAAUCGGAAUUACUGGGCGUAAAGCGUGCGCAGGCGGUCUGUUAAGACAGAUGUGAAAUCCCCGGGCUUAACCUGGGAACUGCAUCUGUGACUGGCAGGCUAGAGUAUGGCAGAGGGGGGUAGAAUUCCACGUGUAGCAGUGAAAUGCGUAGAGAUGUGGAGGAAUACCGAUGGCGAAGGCAGCCCCCUGGGCCAAUACUGACGCUCAUGCACGAAAGCGUGGGGAGCAAACAGG